UACGUAGGUGGCAAGCGUUGUCCGGAUUUAUUGGGUUUAAAGGGUGCGUAGGCGGUCUUAUAAGUCAGUGGUGAAAUACGGCAGCUCAACUGUCGAGGUGCCAUUGAUACUGUAGGACUUGAGUACAGACGAGGUAGGCGGAAUUGACGGUGUAGCGGUGAAAUUCGUAGAUAUUCGCAAGAACACCAGUGGCGAAGGCGGCUCACUGGCCCGGUACUGACGCUGAGGUGCGAAAGCGUGGGGAGCAAACAGG
rnacentral:rRNA from 1 species